CCUGUUAAGUCAGGCAACGAGCGAGACCCACGCCAACAGUUGCCAGCUCGGUCCUCCGGGGAUGGUGGGGACACUGUUGGGACCGCCUCUGCUAAAGAGGAGGAAGGAAUGGGCAACGGUAGGUCAGCAUGCCCCGAAUUAUCUGGGCUACACGCGGGCUACAAUGGGUGGGACAAUGGGUAUCGACACCGAAAGGUGAAGGCAAUCUCCUAAACCCAUCCGUAGUUCGGAUUGUGGGCUGCAACUCGCCCACAUGAAGCUGGAAUCUGUAGUAAUCGUGUCUCAAAAUGGCACGGUGAAUAUGUCCCUGCUCCUU
rnacentral:rRNA from 1 species